CGGAGGAUCCAAGCGUUAUCCGGAUUUAUUGGGUUUAAAGGGUGCGUAGGCGGUUUGAUAAGUUAGAGGUGAAAUCCCGGGGCUUAACUCCGGAACUGCCUCUAAUACUGUUAGACUAGAGAGUAGUUGCGGUAGGCGGAAUGUAUGGUGUAGCGGUGAAAUGCUUAGAGAUCAUACAGAACACCGAUUGCGAAGGCAGCUUACCAAACUAUAUCUGACGUUGAGGCACGAAAGCGUGGGGAGCAAACAGGAUUAGAUACCCUGGUAGUCCACGCAGUAAACGAUGAUAACUCGUUGUCGGCGAUAUACAGUCGGUGACCAAGCGAAAGCGAUAAGUUAUCCACCUGGGGAGUACGUUCGCAAGAAUGAAACUCAAAGGAAUUGACGGGGGCCCGCACAAGCGGAGGAACAUGUGGUUUAAUUCGAUGAUACGCGAGGAACCUUACCCGGGCUUGAAAGUUAGUGACGGAUGCCGAAAGGUGUCUUCCCUUCGGGGCACGAAACUAGGUGCUGCAUGGUUGUCGUCAGCUCGUGCCGUGAGGUGUCGGGUUAAGUCCCAUAACGAGCGCAACCCCUAUCGUUAGUUACCAGCACGUGAAGGUGGGGACUCUAACGAGACUGCCGGUGUAAGCCGAGAGGAGGGUGGGGAUGACGUCAAAUCAGCACGGCCCUUACGUCCGGGGCGACACACGUGUUACAAUGGUCGGUACAGAGGGCAGCUACCUGGUGACAGGAUGCGAAUCUCGAAAGCCGGUCUCAGUUCGGAUUGGAGGCUGAAACUCGCCUCCAUGAAGUUGGAUUCGCUAGUAAUCGCGCAUCAGCCAUGGCGCGGUGAAUACGUUCCCGGGCC
rnacentral:rRNA from 1 species